CGGGUGAGUAACACGUGAGUAAUCUGCCUUCAGCUCUGGGAUAGCUCCGGGAAACCGGGAUUAAUACCGGAUAUGACCACUUCGGACAUCUGUUGUGGUGGAAAGUUUUUCGGCUGGAGAUGAGCUCGCGGCCUAUCAGCUUGUUGGUGGGGUAAUGGCCUACCAAGGCGACGACGGGUAGCCGGCCUGAGAGGGCGACCGGCCACACUGGGACUGAGACACGGCCCAG
rnacentral:rRNA from 1 species